GAUCCUGGCUCAGGAUGAACGCUGGCGGCGUGCUUAACACAUGCAAGUCGAACGAAGCACUUUGGAUAGAUCUCUUCGGAUUGAUAUCCUUAGUGACUGAGUGGCGGACGGGUGAGUAACGCGUGGGUAACCUGCCUCAUACAGGGGGAUAACAGUUAGAAAUGGCUGCUAAUACCGCAUAAGCGCACAGUACCACAUGGUACCGUGUGAAAAACUCCGGU
rnacentral:rRNA from 1 species